rnacentral:rRNA from 1 species
GACGAACGCUGGCGGCGUGGAUUAGGCAUGCAAGUCGAACGGUAUCAUCCUUUCGGGGGUGAGAGAGUGGCGAACUGGUGAGUAACACGUAGGUUAUCUACCCUCAAGACGGGGACAACCCAGGGAAACUUGGGCUAAUACCGGAUGUGAGCAACUUUUAGUUGUUUGAAAGGUGGCGUAAGCUGUCGCUUGGGGAUGAGCCUGCGUCCUAUUAGUUAGUUGGUGAGGUAACGGCUCACCUAGGCAAUGAUAGGUAGGCGGCCUUAACGGGUGGUCGCCCACACUGGGAUUGAGAUACGGCCCAGACUCCUACGGGAGGCAGCAGUCGAGAAUAGUCUACAAUGGUCGGAAGACUGAUAGUGCGACGCCGCGUGAACGAUGAAUCCCUUCGGGGUGUAAAGUUCUUUUAUAUGUGAGCAGUGCUUCUUAUAUUAAACAGUAUGGGGAGAGAGAUAUUAGCAUAUGAAUAAGCAACGGCUAACUCCGUGCCAGCAGCCGCGGUAAAA